GUCGACACCAUCAGCUGGCUUCCUGUUUUUUUUUUUCUUUGAGUGAAAAUUUGAGUUGAGUGUGUUUGAGAUGCUUCCAUACAGUUUGUCCAAUGACUCCCACUUUACUUUUCAUUUUGCAGUCCUUUUCUUCGUCUAUCAUUUUGAUAGAAUCAGUAGAAUCAGCUGUGUGUUUUAAUCCCACCACCUUUAAGAAAGAGACCAUUUUGCUUUGACCCCUUUCUUGUGAUUUCUGCCGUGUUUUGUUAGUUUCCUAACUAGCAACCUCCCUGUCCUCCAGGAUUUGCUUUCUGGGGAAACUUAACAAAGGCAUAAGUUUGAAUGUUCAGUAUUUUGUCUUUGUACCUUUGCACUAAAAAUAAUUGGCAAAUCAUUGCAUUCUGUUUUUGAUGACAUUUUACCUCAACUCUUUAGGAGGCCCUUUUGAAACUGAAUUCAUCCUUUUUUUGUCCAGAAGAAUCACAAUUUGAGCUGUUAAACAUGCUCAACAACUCAUGAAACUUGGCACCAAAUUCAAAAAAGAUGGAACUGAACAGAAAUAAGAACAGACAGAAACUGGCAAGACGAUCAGAAACUGUGAGCGUAUGCUGAGACACCACCAGCUGAAGUGAGAGACUGUUCAGAUCAGGUGACCGAAUGAGAAACAUGUUGCUUCACUUGUCAAAUAUUCUAAAAGUUGGAUGCAUUAAGUGAGAGCCAAACAAACUUUGCCGUUAAAGAAGCCACAUGAUUUGCGGGUAUUGAAGUCGUCGGGGUCGUCAGGUGCAACGCAGCUUGUAAUUAUGCUGUGCAGCGUGUGUGUUCCCACAUGUGUACAUCUACCUGUGAGUGUGUGCGCACACAUCUCCCCCUCCCACGCACACAGCACUCCUUUGUGAGUCAUGAGUCCAACCACGACACACGAUAUGUCCGCCUCCCUCCCCACCGUCCCUGCUUCUGACAGACAGAUGAGUCAGCGACGGAUGUGCAGGCUUGUGCCAAGUGAUCAGCUUCCUCUCAUCCCCUGUCCCUCCUCCUCCUCCUCCUCCUCCUCCUCGUCCUCCUCGUCCUCCCUCGUCGCCGUCCAUCUCUACCCACAUGGCCCGGCUGACACAAAAGGCUGUGAUUCAUGCACCGAUCACCGUCUGGGUGUUUUAAAAAUAAGUCCUGCCAUGCUGGAGGAUGUGUCCCGCUGUCCCGCCAAGACAACAAAGAGGCAAACAAACGGCCGACUGUGACUCUCACACGAACCACAGGAGAUCCAGAGGACGGGUGGUUGUGUCUUUAGCAGCCACCUCAUAGCUGCACAAGGCAACUAUUGUUCUUUUAAAUGGGGAAAAGAAAAAACGUUACCCCUGUAGACCAAGAAUCAGACACAUGCAACAUUUCUUGAGACAUCUUCUAGUUGCUGUUUCUCAUCCUCGCAGGUUAUUUCUCAUAGUAAACGUUUCUUUUCCUCUCUUUUAGCUUCCUGCAGCGGCGUGUAUUGAUCUGCUAUUCAUCAGAAAGGCUCUUAAAGGGCUCUUGAAACACAGGAAUCAAUGCUAACAUGUUUGCUUUUUCACAAUAAGCCCCCUUUUCUCUAGUGUUAUUUGGCCGCGUCGCUGCUCAUUCAUGUGCAGCUCAUUAUGCAAAAAAAAUUCACAGGGCUGGAAAAGGUAUUAAUAAAGAGGAGGGCUCUGGAGUCAGCAUUUGAUGCCUCCAUUGAUCUCUGCCCCCAAAAAGCCCACAACAAGCCAUAAAAGCAUUUCAGGACAGUCGCCAAGAUGCACAUAUACCAAAGUGGCUGUGAUGCACGAGGCUUUUAAAAGGCCGGGGUUUUCUCCAGCAGCAUGUCUACAAGAGGAAUAAGCAAACAAACCUGAGACGGGGAUGAUUACUAAGCACAAAUGCGUCAUGGGAGCGUCUCGUAUCAACCUCCCA